ensembl:lncRNA
CAUAUGCUCCCAUCUAGACGUCGUCUCUUUCAGGGAAGACCUUGCAUUUUCCAACAUGACAAUGCCAGACCACAUACUGCAUCAAUUACAACAUCAUGGCUGCGUAGAAGAAGGAUCCGGGUACUGAAAUGGCCAGCCUGCAGUCCAGAUCUUUCACCCAUAGAAAACAUUUGGCGCAUCAUAAAGAGGAAGAUGCGACAAAAAAGACCUAACUGCAUUUAACCCAUCCAAAGUGCACACACACCCGAAGCAGUGGGCAGCCAUUUAUGCUGCGGACCUCAGGGAGCAGUUGCUCAAGGGCACCUCAGUCGUGGUAUUAAAGGUGGAGCGAGCGCUGUACAUUCACUUCCCCCACCUACAAUUCCCGCCGACCCGGGACUCUAACUUGCAACCCUUGGAUUGCAAGUCCAACACUCUGACCGUUAGGCCACGACUUUCCCAUGACAAACAUGGCCUUGUCCCAACUUUUUUGUUGAUGUCAUGAAAUUUAAAAUCAACUUAUUUUUCCCUUAAAAUUAUACAUUUUCUCAGUUUAAACAUUUGAUAUGUCAUCUAUGUUGUAUUCUGAAUAAAAUGUUAAAAUUUGAAACUUCCACAUCAUUGCAUUCUGUUUUUAUUCACAAUUUGUACAGUGUCCCAACUUUUUUGGAAUCGGGUUUGUAUAAUGUAAUAAUUGUUACAUUCCUGAUUUGUUUGUUUGAUCUCAGUUUCAGUGGCAAUAGCAUCACUGACGCUGGGGCUCAGAAUCUCCACAUGAUCGUCAAUCACAACAGGAACAUAAAGACAGUAAGGCUCUUCAACAACAGAAUUGAAUCCAGAGAGCUCUUCAGGACAGACCCACGAUUUGAGAUCUGGUGAUUUCAGUAAACUCUCUCUGGGAUCAACAAGCAGAUGUAAUAACUAGUGGGAAAUAAUGAAGUGACUGGUAAAAAGCUUUGAGGAAUCUGCCCAUCAGAGUCCCAGAGAUGAAUCAAGCCACCAGAUUAUAAAUUCAUUCACAUUCAUUUUUAUCAUCACUUUCAAUCAUAAUAAACAGUGGGUUUCUGUUGCA